GAUGAACGCUGGCGGUAUGCUUAACACAUGCAAGUCGAACGGACUCUUCGGAGUUAGUGGCGGUCGGGUGAGUAACGCGUGAGAAUCUGGCUUUGGGUUCGGGACAACCACUGGAAACGGUGGCUCAUACCGGAUGUGCCGAGAGGUAAAAGAGAAAUCGCCUGAAGAUGAGCUCGCGUCUGAUUAGCUAGUUGGUGAGGUAAAGGCUCACCAAGGCAGCGAUCAGUAGCUGGUCUGAGAGGAUGACCAGCCACACGGGGACUGAGACACGGCCCAGACUCCUACGAGGGGCAGCAGUGGAGAAUUUUCCGCAAGGGGCGAAAGCCUGACGGAGCAAUACCGCGUGAGGGAAGAAGGCUCUUGUGUUGUAAACCUCUUGUCUGAGGGAAGAACAAAAUGACGGUACCUAAGGAAGCAGCAGCGGCUAACUCCGUG
rnacentral:rRNA from 1 species